AGCGUAGGUGGCCUUAUAAGUCAGUGGUGAAAUCUCUGGGCUUAACCCAGAAAUUGCCAUUGAUACUGUAGGGCUUGAGUAUAGAUGCCGUUGGCGGAAUAUGACAUGUAGUGGUGAAAUACAUAGAGAUGUCAUAGAACACCGAUUGCGAAGGCAGCUAACGAAACUAUAACUGACACUGAGGCUCGAAAGUGUGGGGAUCAAACA
rnacentral:rRNA from 1 species